GACUUUGAGCUCAAUGCCAUGACUGAGGAAGACCACGGGGUUUUCUCUCUUAGAGGGGAGGGAACCCAGAGCUUUGAGUUGAGAUGGGGGUGCCAUAAGAUUGAAGUACUCUGAAAAACAGAAAUCCUUGAUAUUCUUCAUUCCAAUUGUUCACCUCUACUGUAGGGCUCAGUAAACACUUAAGGAAGUUGCCGUGCACUGCAGCCUGCCGGAGACAUGAAGGAAUGUACGGGAGGAUAAUCGCAACAUCAUCAACCCAAUUCUCCAAGGAAUUUGCCAUGGGACAGGCACACCCCAUGUGUUUGGGAAGACAAUGGGAAGGUUCUGUUUUCUGCUCCAAGACUGAUUCAACCAGUUGGAUCUGGAAGGGGAUAAAGGGCUGUGUGGCUGCUUGAUUUUCAUUGUCUAGUGGCAGCCAAAAUUGGAAAAGAGAGAAGUGCAGACUUUAAAGACAAGCAGCGACAGCUCAUCAGCAGUCUAACAACACGACAGAUGACAGGCCCAGAGGCACACCCAGGGCCGCCAGCCCAUCACCCUGUGCAGGAUGUCAAAGAGCAGCUGCAGCAAAGGAAGAAGAUCAUCCAGACUUAAAUGUUUGGGCCUUGCUAAGACCAUAGAGUCUUUGUGCUUUGGAAACAGUCCUCCAUACAAAGACCCCUUCCUAGAAAAGAGUGGAAAGAAACCAAGGUGGAAUGGAUACAACAGAAAGGAGACCAUGCUAAUAUUCUUGUGCAAUGCUUCCUGGGCAGAAAUUAUGUCAUAAAGGAUGUUCCAUUCUGCAAAGCUAUGUGUCUCUCUGUGGUUUGCCUCAGAGGAGGGGCCUUUCAUAGCUGUAGUGAGUAAGGGGGCCCUUGCUGAUGUUCAUCAGAUAUGCCAAGGCACAGGAAGAAAGCAUUGAGGUCACAGGGCAGCUCAGGUCCGCCUGUGGUAAUCCUGAUCUUAUUUUGUGUAUGCCAUUGAUUUGUUGGAGAAAAUGUGUCAUCCACCUUGCUGAAUCCUCCACAUUCUGAGUGUGGCUGCUUGCUACUGGAGGAUUCCAUCUUGGGCCAGUGGAAACCAUCUUCACAUUGGAUCUUGUUUCCUACUGACGUGCAAGUGGUAUUGAGAGACGAUCAAGGAUCUGGAGUGCUCAUUGUUAUUGGUUUUCAAUACUUCUAGGCAUUUUUAAGAAAACAGAGCUAAAUAUACAUGUGUGUACAAGAAAAAAGGAACUAUGAAAAAGCCAGAUGCUGAUCUGGGAAAUGUCCCAGAAUUAUUCUUUUGAAAAAUAUUAACACUCCAUUACAAAAGGUCUUGCGGAGAAUUAUAUUGAAACUCAGUUCCUGAUGACUAUAAAUAUAUAGAAGCAGCAACACAUUGGAGCAAAACUUGCGAUUUGAGGGAGAAAAGAAGAUUUUUAACUUCAGGAGGAUAUGCACUAGAUGCCAGAAUGAACCACGAGAAAUUUCCCUGGUGAACAAACUUAGGACUGAGAGAA
rnacentral:lncRNA from 1 species